UACGUAGGGGGGCAAGCGUUGUCCGGAUUUAUUGGGCGUAAAGCGCACGCAGGCGGUCUCGUAAGUUUGGAGUGACAGUGCUCGGCUCAACUGAGCAAGGCCUUCGAAAACUGCGGGACUUGAGGACCAGAGAGGGACAUAGAAUUCCGGGUGGAGUGGUGAAAUGCGUAGAUAUCCGGAGGAAUACCAAAGGCGAAGGCAGUGUCCUGGCUGGUAACUGACGCUCAGGUGCGAAAGCUAGGGGAGCGAACAGG
rnacentral:rRNA from 1 species